rnacentral:rRNA from 1 species
UUACUAGAGUAGCACUCGCAUAUCAAUAAGCGGAGGAAAAGAAACUAACAAGGAUUCCCCUAGUAACGGCGAGUGAAGCGGGAAGAGCUCAAAUUUGAAAUCUUAAAGGGUUUCCCUUUACGAAUUGUAGUUUAAAGAAGUGUUUUCUGUUGAGGUUUUGGUAAAAGUUCUUUGGAAUAGGACAUCAUAGAGGGUGAGAAUCCCGUAUUUGACCUUUACUUUCAACUUUGUGAUACACUUUCAAAGGAGUCGGAUUGUUUGGGAAUGCAGUCCAAAAUGGGUGGUAAAUUUCAUCUAAAGCUAAAUAUUGGCGAGAGACCGAUAGCGAACAAGUACCGUGAGGGAAAGAUGAAAAGAACUUUGAAAAGAGAGUUAAACAGUACGUGAAAUUGUCAAAAGGGAAGCGUUUGACACCAGUGUUGUUUUUCUGAAAAUCAAUUAAAGAACUGUUUAUGCUAAGCUGUUUAGACUUUAUCAGCUAUCUGUUUAGUUUUGAGCUUUUCUUUAAUGCACUUUUCAGUUAACAAGUCAACAUCAAUUUCUUUUGCUGUAAAAAAGCUUGAGGAAGGUGGCUUGAGAUUCGUCUUAAGUGUUUAUAGCCUCUUGCCUAUGCAGUCGGAGAGAUUGAGGUCUGCAGCGUAGAUCCUUCGGGGCUAAAUGCAUUUGUGCUAAGUUAUAGCAUUUUAUAGACAACUUGUUGACUAUGAUUUGUCUUGUAGCUUACUCGCUUAUGUUAUUUUACCUACGCUUAGGAUGUUGAGUCAUCACACAUCUCU